rnacentral:rRNA from 1 species
GACGAACGCUGGCGGCGCGCUUAACACAUGCCAGUCGAGCGAUGAAAUUUCGACAGAUCCCUUCGGGGUGAAGAUGAAAUGGAUUAGCGGCGGACGGGUGAGUAACACGUGAGUAACCUGCCUUUGACAUUGGGAUAGCCUCGGGAAACUGGGAUUAAUACCAAAUGACGCUAACUGAUCACAUGAUCAAUUAGUCAAAGAAAUUCGGUCAAAGAUGGACUCGCGGCUGAUUAGCUAGUUGGUGAGGUAACGGCCCACCAAGGCGACGAUCAGUAGCCGGCCUGUGAGGGUGGUCCGCCACACUGGAACUGGGACACGGUCCAAACUCCUACGGGAGGCAGCAGUGGGGAAUAUUGCACAAUCGGGGGAACCCUGAUGCAGCGACGCCGCGUGAGCGAAGAAGGCCUUCGGGUCGUAAAGCUCUUUUAUGAGGGAAGAUAAUGACGGUACCUAAAGAAAAAGCCCCGGCUAACUACGUG